rnacentral:rRNA from 1 species
CGCGUAGGCGGCCGGACGUGUCGGGUGUGAAAUCCAUGGGCCCAACCCAUGAAGUGCGCCCGAAACUGCCCGGCUCGAGAGCGGGAGGGGAGAUCGGAAUGCAUGGUGUAGCGGUGAAAUGCGUUGAUAUCAUGCAGAACACCGGUGGCGAAGGCGGAUCUCUGGAACGCAUCUGACGCUGAGGCGCGAAAGCAGGGGGGAGCAAACAG